rnacentral:lncRNA from 1 species
CCCCCCAGGUGUGUAAUAUUCGCCCCCUCAGCCUCAUUCACAUUUUUUACUCAUUUCCACAUUAACUCAUAUUUUUUGACAUUUGUUUAUUUGGGGAAGGGGGAACACUGGGGGGAGGAGACGUGGUGGCCCCUGCUGUCACCAGAGCCCUGUCAUGGUUCAACCACGACAAAGAGCCCAAAAGAGUCUCCUUCCUCCCCUCCCUCCCUUCCUCUUCCUCCUUCCCUGCCCUUCCUCCUAAUUAAAGGGAAUAAAUAGAAUAGAAAUAAAUAGAAUUAAACGGAAUAGGAAGAGCAGAAUGGGGUAGGAGAACCGGAGUGAGCAGAAGAAUAACAACUGGAAUAACUUAAAUAGAAUAAAAUAAAACAGAAAGAAUAAUGAAUGACAUAGAAAGAAAAUAAAAUAAAUAGACUUAAAGAAACUUCUGGCCUUAAAUACAAGCAUGGGGCAGGGCAUGGGAAAUGCCCUGAGGGACAUUCCAGGAUCCAAAGGUACUUCAGGACCUGAAGAGAACACGGAGAAUUCAUCCCAGAGGGAUUUUCCAGGCUCUGGGAGAACCGGGAAGCACCGGAGGACAUUGCAAGGUCCAGAGGGACACCAGGAAGUGUCCUGGAGACACUCUGAGGUGUGAAAGGCACAUGGAGAAACAGCCCUGAGGGAUUGCCCGAGGUCCAAAGGGACACGGAGAAGUCCCCAGGUUCCAGAAGCCUCCGGGGGUGCCCCGGGGUGGGCGCGGCACCGGCAGGGCCACACCCACCGGGGGCCACACCCACCGGGGUCACACCCACCGGGUCACACCCACCGGGGCACCGGGACGGCCUGGCUACCGCUGGGCACCCGCCGGGAGCUGCCUGUCCCCGAGGGCCUCCCCGGCCCUGAGCACGUCCCUGGCCUCGAGGGGGUCCCUGUCCCCAAGCACGGCCCCAUCACUGUGAGGGUGCCUCUCGUGGAGCAGGUCCCCGCCCAUGAGUGGGUCCCUGUCUCCACAGGGCUCCCUGUCCCUGUCCCUGUCCCUGAGCGAGUCCCCAUCCCCACAGGGGUCCCCAUCCCCUUCCCUAUCACCCAUCACCCUAUCGCUGAGUGGGUCCCCAUGCCCACGGGAGUCCCUAUCCCCAUCCCUAUCUCCAUCCCCACCCCCGUCCCCACGGGGGUCCCUAUCCCUGUCCCCGCAGGGGUCCCUAUCCAUGUCCCUAUCCCUGAGU